AAGACUAUAGACCUGCGGAGUACCUGCGGAGGGAUCAUUACCGAGUACCGGGGCCUUCGGGUUCCUACUCCCACCCUAUGUUGACUUUAAAUGUUGCUUUGGCGGACCGGUGGUCUCACCGCUGGCCUAGGCUGGAGAGCGUCCGCCAGAGGAUUUUAAACUCUGUUUAACGGUGAAUUCUGAGUCUUGAUAAAUUGAAUCAAAACUUUUAACAACGGAUCUCUAGAUCGGAAGAGCACA
rnacentral:misc_RNA from 1 species